CCUACGGGAGGCAGCAGUGAGGAAUCUUUGGUCAAUUGGGGAAACCCUGAACCAGCAACGCCGCGGUGUAGGACGAAGACCUUCGGGGUUGUAAACUCCUGUCGGACGGGACGAAAGUCGUCGGGGCGAAUACCCCCGGCGAUUGACGGUACCGUACGAGGAAGCCCCGGCUAACUUCGUGCCAGCAGCCGCGGUAAUACGAGGGGGGCAAGCGUUGUUCGGAAUUACUGGGCGUAAAGGGCGCGUAGGCGGUUCGGCAAGUCUCCCGUGAAAUCCCACGGCUCAACCGUGGAACUGCGAGGGAAACUGCCGGACUUGAGUCCGGGAGGGGGGAGUGGAAUUCCCAGUGUAGCGGUGAAAUGCGCAGAUAUUGGGAGGAACACCGGAGGCGAAGGCGUCUCCCUGGACCGGUACUGACGCUGAGGCGCGAAAGCCAGGGGAGCAAACGGGAUUAGAUACCCCGGUAGUCCUGGCCGUAAACGAUGAGCACUGGAUGUGGCGGGUAUUGACCCCUGCCGUGUCGAAGCUAACGCAAUAAGUGCUCCGCCUGGGGAGUACGGUCGCAAGGCUGAAACUCAAAUGAAUUGACGG
rnacentral:rRNA from 1 species